ensembl:lncRNA
UUAUAGAGUAUGUUAGUGUUAUAGAGUAUGUUAUAGAUUAUAUGUUAGAGUAUGUUAGUGUUAUAGAGUAUGUUAUAGAUUAUAUGUUAGAGUAUGUUAGUGUUAUAGAGUGUGUUAUAGAGUAUAUGUUAGAGUAUGUUAUGUUAUAGAGUGUGUUAUAGAUUAUAUGUUAGAGUAUGUUAGUGUUAUAGAGUGUUAUAGAUUAUAUGUUAGAGUAUGUUAGUGUUGUAGAGUAUGUUAUAGAUUAUAUGUUAGAGUAUGUUAGUGUUAUAGAGUAGGUUAUAGAUUAUAUGUUAGAGUAUGUUAGUGUUAGAGUGUGUUAGAGUAUACAGUAUGUUAUAGAGUAUGUUAUAGAUUAUAUGUUAGAGUAUGUUAGUGUUAUAGAGUGUGUUAGAGUAUAUGUUAGAGUAUGUUAGUGUUA